rnacentral:rRNA from 1 species
AGAAUCAACGCUGGCGGCGUGCCUAACACAUGCAAGUCGAACGAGGAAGUGGUAGCAAUACCAUGAGUAAAGUGGCGCACGGGUGAGUAACACGUGACUAACCUACCCUUGAGUGGGGGAUAAACUGAGGGAAACCUUAGCUAAUACCGCAUAAUACCCACGGGCCAAAGGAGCAAUUCGCUCGAGGAGGGGGUCGCGGCCGAUUAGUUAGUUGGCAGGGUAAUGGCCUACCAAGACGAUGAUCGGUA